GGUUCUAUUUAGAGCUGAGAUUAUCUCACCUUUUGUGUUUGAUGAUAAAAAUGUCCAUGCCAAUUUGGUGAAAUACUUGGAUGAUUCUUAUGGGGCUGAUCUCAUGCCUUGUUUGCCUUAGCUAGAGGGGGUAGUUUUACCUCAUUGUGAGCUCAUCCUCACAUGAUCCUUUUUGUCCCUAUUUGAUCCUUGGACAGAGAGAAGGAUAUGCUCACAUGUUCUUGGUUGUGCCACCUUGGAGCUUUGCAAGCUUCAAAAUCGAGAGGUGAAGCAUGGGGAAAAGGAAGAGAGUCUAUUCUUGUAGCUCUUUGGUCUCUUUUACCAAUUUAGACCACUUCCAACUUGUUGAAUAGAGUAGUAGGAUAAAUGGUGUAGAAUAGAUGUGUGUGUUGUCACUCUCACAUAUGUAAACAUGUGCUAGAUGUAUCUCCAACAUUCUUGUGUAUCUUAUUUCUCAAAUAUUUAUCUAAUAAAAGCAUAGCUUUACUUUUA